rnacentral:sRNA from 1 species
UGUCUUUUCAUAUAUAUAGCUGCUAUUAUACGAAAUGCAGAGGAGCGCAGAUAUUGAAGAUAGCGAAAUUGCAUUAACUGCAAGCUGACUAGCAGCUGCUGCCAUAUAAAGUGCAGAGGGGCGCAAAACCGAGAUAGCAGAACUGCAUUAAUUGCAAGCUGACUAGCAGAGCACAUCAACUGCGGCAAGGAGAUUUAGCCAAGUGGGCUGCACAGCCAAUAGGGCGGAUAUUUAAGUUAGUUUUUAGUUAAUUCAAAAUGUGCAUCUUAGGCGCAAGUGCCGUCAGAUAUGUUCGCUGCACAUAUAUAUAUAUAU